rnacentral:rRNA from 1 species
UGAGGAAUAUUGGGCAAUGCCCGCAAGGGUGACCCAGCAACGCCGCGUGGAGGAUGAAUGUCGUAAGAUUGUAAACUCCUGUUAGAGGGGAAGAAUAGUACCGGUUGGACCGGUAUAUGACUGUACCCUCAGAGAAAGCCCCGGCUAACUACGUGCCAGCAGCCGCGGUAAUACGUAGGGGGCAAGCGUUGUCCGGAUUUACUGGGUGUAAAGGGCGCGCAGGCGGGAUAAAAAGUCAGUGGUGAAAUCCUACAGCUUAACUGUAGAACUGCCUUUGAUACGUUUAUUCUUGAGUUCGGGAGAGGGAGACGGAAUUCCAGGUGUAGUGGUGAAAUACGUAGAUAUCUGGAAGAACACCAGUUGCGAAGGCGGUCUCUUGGUCCGACACUGACGCUGAGGCGCGAAAGCGUGGGGAGCAAACA